rnacentral:lncRNA from 1 species
AGAUACCAGAGAUACGGCAACGCUCCUGGGAAGGAUUCUGUAGUCACCCAUGAUUUAGGACGGAAAGGGACCAACAGUGAGGCCGGAAAGCCCUGCUACCGGUAAAGCUGUCCCUUGCCGACUCGAGUUGUUCGCUCGUUUCAUUGACAGUCUAGAUACCUAACUCCACCAGGUUAAACCUAACAUAACUGGAACUUAGACAUGGC